rnacentral:rRNA from 1 species
CCUACGGGCGGCAGCAGUGGGGAAUAUUGCACAAUGGGGGAAACCCUGAUGCAGCGACGCCGCGUGAAGGAAGAAGUCUUUCUGUAUGUAAACUUCUAUCAGCAGGGAAGAAAAUGACGGUACCUGACUAAGAAGCCCCGGCUAACUCCGUGCCAGCAGCCGCGGUAAUACGGAGGAUGCGAGCGUUAACCGGAGUUAUUGGGUUUAACGGGUGCGUAGGCGGUCCGGAAAGUCAGCGGUAAAAGCCCGGGGCUCAACCCCGGCGAGCCGUUGAAACUGUCGGACUAGAGACGGCGAGAAGUACGCGGAAUGCGCGGUGUAGCGGUGAAAUGCAUAGAUAUCGCGCAGAACGCCGAUUGCGAAGGCAGCGUACCGGCGCCGGACUGACGCUGAGGCACGAAAGCGUGGGUAUCGAACAGGAUGAGAGACCCCAGUAGUC